UAAGCGGAGGAAAAGAAACUAACAAGGAUUCCCCUAGUAGCGGCGAGCGAAGCGGGAAGAGCUCAAAUUUGUAAUCUGGCGCUUUCAGCGUCCGAGUUGUAAUCUCUAGAAAUGUUUUCCGCGUUGGACCGCACACAAGUCUGUUGGAAUACAGCGGCACAGUGGUGAGACCCCCGUUCAUGGUGCGGAUGCCCAAUGCUUUGUGAUACAUUUUCGAAGAGUCGAGUUGUUUGGGAAUGCAGCUCAAAUUGGGUGGUAAAUUCCAUCUAAAGCUAAAUAUUGGCGAGAGACCGAUAGCGAACAAGUACCGUGAGGGAAAGAUGAAAAGCACUUUGGAAAGAGAGUUAACAGUACGUGAAAUUGUUGGAAGGGAAACGCUUGAAGUCAGACUUGCUGUUCGGAGUUCAGCCGCAAGGUGUACUCUCCGAGUUGCAGGCCAGCAUCAGUUUUUCGGGGUGGAAAAUCACGGUUUGAAGGUAGCAGUUUCGGCUGUGUUAUAGCUUUCCGUUGGAUACAUCCUGGGGGACUGAGGAACGCAGUGUGCUUUUAGCGGAGGUUUCGACCUCUUCACACUUAGGAUGCUGGUGGAAUGGCUUUAAACGACCCGUCUUGA
rnacentral:rRNA from 1 species